UACAGAGGGUGCGAGCGUAAUCGGAAUUACUGGGCGUAAAGCGUGCGUAGACGGUAGCGUAAGUCAGAUGUGAAAGCCCCGGGCUCAACCUGGGAACUGCAUUGUGACUGCAUGGCUAGAGUUUGGCAGAGGGGGGGUAGAAUUCCACGUGUAGCAGUGAAAUGCGUAGAUAUGUGGAGGAACACCGAUGGCGAAGGCAGCCCCCUGGGUCAAGACUGACGCUCAUGCACGAA
rnacentral:rRNA from 1 species